CCUACGGGCGGCAGCAGUGGGGAAUAUUGGGCAAUGGAGGAAACUCUGACCCAGCAACGCCGCGUGAAGGAUGAAGGUUUUCGGAUUGUAAACUUCUGUCGCGAGGGAUGAAGAAUGACGGUACCUGACCAAGAAGCCCCGGCUAACUACGUGCCAGCAGCCGCGGUAAUACGUAGGGGGCAAGCGUUAUCCGGAUUUAUUGGGUUUAAAGGGUGCGUAGGCGGUCGGAUAAGUUAGAGGUGAAAUCCCGAGGCUCAACUUCGGAAUUGCCUCUGAUACUGUUCGGCUAGAGAGUAGUUGCGGUAGGCGGAAUGUAUGGUGUAGCGGUGAAAUGCUUAGAGAUCAUACAGAACACCGAUUGCGAAGGCAGCUUACCAAGCUACUUCUGACGUUGAGGCACGAAAGCGUGGGGAGCAAACAGGAUUAGAUACCCCAGUAGUC
rnacentral:rRNA from 1 species